AUAAUGGGUCAGCGACUUAUAUUCUGUAGCAAGGUUAACCGAAUAGGGGAGCCGAAGGGAAACCGAGUCUUAACUGGGCGUUAAGUUGCAGGGUAUAGACCCGAAACCCGGUGAUCUAGCCAUGGGCAGGUUGAAGGUUGGGUAACACUAACUGGAGGACCGAACCGACUAAUGUUGAAAAAUUAGCGGAUGACUUGUGGCUGGGGGUGAAAGGCCAAUCAAACCGGGAGAUAGCUGGUUCUCCCCGAAAGCUAUUUAGGUAGCGCCUCGUGAAUUCAUCUCCGGGGGUAGAGCACUGUUUCGGCAAGGGGGUCAUCCCGACUUACCAACCCGAUGCAAACUGCGAAUACCGGAGAAUGUUAUCACGGGAGACACACGGCGGGUGCUAACGUCCGUCGUGAAGAGGGAAACAACCCAGACCGCCAGCUAAGGUCCCAAAGUCAUGGUUAAGUGGGAAACGAUGUGGGAAGGCCCAGACAGCCAGGAUGUUGGCUUAGAAGCAGCCAUCAUUUAAAGAAAGCGUAAUAGCUCACUGGUCGAGUCGGCCUGCGCGGAAGAUGUAACGGGGCUAAACCAUGCACCGAAGCUGCGGCAGCGACACUAUGUGUUGUUGGGUAGGGGAGCGUUCUGU
rnacentral:rRNA from 1 species